rnacentral:tRNA from 1 species
UCCCUAGUGGUCCAGUGGUUUAAGACUCCACACUUUCAAUGCAGGGGGUGCAGGUUCGACUCCUGGUCAGGGAA